CCUACGGGAGACAGCAGUGGGGAAUAUUGCACAAUGGGGGAACCCCUGAUGCAUCGACGCCGCGUGAGUGACGAAGUAUUUCGGUAUGUACAGCUCUAUCAGCCGGGAAGAAAAUGACGGUCCCUGAUUAAGAAGCCCCGGCUAACUACGUGCCAGCAGCCGCGGUAAUACGUAGGGGGCAAGCGUUAUCCGGAUUUACUGGGCGUAACGGGAGCGUAGACGGCAGUACAAGUCUUGAGUGAAAUGCCGGGGCUCAACGCCGGAAAUGCUUGGGAGACUAUGCAGCUAGAGUUCAAGAGAGGUAAGUGGAAUUCCUGGUGUAGCGGUGAAAUGCGUAGAGAUUAGGAGGAACACCAGUGGCGAAGGCGGCAUACUGGACGGAAACUGACGUUGAGGCGCGAAAGCGUGGGGAGCAAACAGGAUUAGAUACCCUGGUAGUC
rnacentral:rRNA from 1 species